rnacentral:rRNA from 1 species
GGCCUACGGGGGGCAGCAGUGAGGAAUAUUGGUCAAUGGGCGGGAGCCUGAACCAGCCAAGUCGCGUGAAGGAAGAAGGUACUUAGUAUUGUAAACUUCUUUUGUCGGGGAACAAAGGCGGAGACGCGUCUCCGGAUGAGUGUACCCGAAGAAAAAGCAUCGGCUAACUCCGUGCCAGCAGCCGCGGUAAUACGGAGGAUGCGAGCGUUAUCCGGAUUUAUUGGGUUUAAAGGGUGCGUAGGCGGGUUAUCAAGUCAGCGGUAAAAUCGUGGAGCUCAACUCCGUCCAGCCGUUGAAACUGAUGG